rnacentral:rRNA from 1 species
CCUACGGGCGGCAGCAGUGAGGAAUAUUGGUCAAUGGUCGCAAGUCUGAACCAGCCAUGCCGCGUGCAGGAAGACGGCUCUAUGAGUUGUAAACUGCUUUUAUACGGGGGUAAACGCAGAUACGUGUGUCUGUCUGUAAGUACCGUACGAAUAAGGAUCGGCUAACUACGUGCCAGCAGCCGCGGUAAUACGGAGGAUUCGAGCGUUAUCAGGAUUUAUUGGGUUUAAAGGGUGCGUAGGCGGUCGGAUAAGUUAGAGGUGAAAUCCCGAGGCUCAACUGCGGAAUUGCUACUGAUACUGUUAGGCUAGAGAGUAGUUGCGGUAGGCGGAAUGUAUGGUGUAGCGGUGAAAUGCUUAGAGAUCAUACAGAACACCGAUUGCGAAGGCAGCUUACCAAGCUACUUCUGACGUUGAGGCACGAAAGCGUGGGGAGCAAACAGGAUUAGAUACCCCUGUAGUC